rnacentral:rRNA from 1 species
ACGCUGGCGGCAGGCCUAACACAUGCAAGUCGAGCGGUAGAGAGAAGCUUGCUUCUCUUGAGAGCGGCGGACGGGUGAGUAAUGCCUAGGAAUCUGCCUGGUAGUGGGGGAUAACGUUCGGAAACGGACGCUAAUACCGCAUACGUCCUACGGGAGAAAGCAGGGGACCUUCGGGCCUUGCGCUAUCAGAUGAGCCUAGGUCGGAUUAGCUAGUUGGUGGGGUAAUGGCUCACCAAGGCGACGAUCCGUAGCUGGUCUGAGAGGAUGAUCAGUCACACUGGAACUGAGACACGGUCCAGACUCCUACGGGAGGCAGCAGUGGGGAAUAUUGGACAAUGGGCGAAAGCCUGAUCCAGCCAUGCCGCGUGUGUGAAGAAGGUCUUCGGAUUGUAAAGCACUUUAAGUUGGGAGGAAGGGCAGUAAAUUAAUACUUUGCUGUUUUGACGUUACCGACAGAAUAAGCACCGGCUAACUCUGUGCCAGCAGCCGCGGUAAUACAGAGGGUGCAAGCGUUAAUCGGAAUUACUGGGCGUAAAGCGCGCGUAGGUGGUUCGUUAAGUUGGAUGUGAAAUCCCCGGGCUCAACCUGGGAACUGCAUUCAAAACUGACGAGCUAGAGUAUGGUAGAGGGUGGUGGAAUUUCCUGUGUAGCGGUGAAAUGCGUAGAUAUAGGAAGGAACACCAGUGGCGAAGGCGACCACCUGGACUGAUACUGACACUGAGGUGCGAAAGCGUGGGGAGCAAAC